CAUUCCCUGUUGUCUUGCUGUCUAUUGGUAAGUUGUGUUCUAGUGCUCCUUGUGUUGAGUUUAAUGUGUUGCAACCCCUUCCCCUUUAACCAUGAAUGUGAGGUUGACAACACAUUCAACACAAGGAACACUAGGAACACAACACAUCAUUAGACAGAACACUACAUACACACAACACACAUUAUAUAGAACACAUUUAACCCUUCCCUUAGGCCAAGAAUGAGAGGUUGGCAACACAAACACAACACACAGAACACUAGAACACAACACAUCAUUAGACAGCAACGCAAUACUACACACACACAACACACUACAGAACACAUAACCCUUCCCUUAGGCCAAGAAUGAGAGGUUGGCAACACAAACACAACACACAGAACACUAGAACACAACACAUCAUUAGACAGCAACGCAAUACUACACACACACAACACACUAUAGAACACAUACCCCUUCCCCUUUAGCCAUGAAUGAGAGGUCGGCAACACAAACACAACACACAGAACACUAGAACACAACACAUCAUUAGACAGCAACGCAAUACUACACACACACAACACACUAUAGAACACAUACCCCUUCCUCUUUAGCCAUGAAUGAGAGGUUGGCAACACAUGCAACACAAGGAACACUAGAACACAACAUACCAUCAUUAGACAGCAAACCGGAACACCACAUACACAACACAAAACACAGAACACUACAACACUUCACAACACUAACACAUGUAAAACAACCAACACACACACACACACAACACUACAACACACCAGACAACACUAGAACACGGGGACACAUACCAUCACACUAACCAGCAACACUUAGACAUGCAACAGGACAAUCAAUUAUUUACGCAACACACGUCUUCCUUAUCAACACACCAUCAGAGAGACUAGACAAAGAGAGAAAGAAAGAAGGGAAGGACAGCAACACAACAGCCUCGAAAGCAACACAAAACACAUGUAACACAGCCAUUCACAACACACAGCAACACAUUAAACAAAGAAAGAGAGAUGGGUGGGAGAGUUAGAGAUUGUCAGUCAUGAAUUUCCAAGAACAGCAACAUAACAACCUCGAUAGCAACACAACCAUUCACACAACACACAGCAACACAAACAAAGGAAGGAUAGAUAGAUAGUCACAAAACUCUAAGGACAGCAACACAACAGCCUCCCUCUUCUGACAGCAACACAGCUUUAAUUAACAGACAGUAGCAACACUCGUAUAUACAACACAAAUACCCGUAGAAACAAACACUACAAGAAUGAAACGCGUAUAUUAUGAACCCACAAGGAAACUGGAACAUUUGACCCCCAAUUACGAUAGAUAGAUAGAUAUUAAGAAACACACACAGCAACACAUACACCACUCACAGCAACACAACACCAUAGACUUUAAUUAUAAGGAACUCAAUGAUAUGAAUGAAGAGAGUAACUUUGACCUCGUUAACAAAGCAAUAACAUGACAAGACCAGGGAUGCUAUGCUCAAUCUACCCUCUCACACUAUCAAUUAACUCCAGUCCACGAUAAUUAGAGGUAUAUUAAGACCCAGGAAUGUCAGAAGAUGUAUUUAGCGAUGGAAUAGAAGCAUGUUGGUCGUUAUUUCUCGUUAAACUCGUUAUGCAGUCUCACGGAUACCACAAACCGCUCAAGAAAUUCCUUUAUAUUAACUAUUUUUACGAUGUUACAAGUGAUUAGGAUAGACAAUUUAUGAUAGAGGAGGUUGAUGAGUGUAUUUUCAGCUGAUCUUCAAUUGUUAGAGUCUGGGAAUGCUUAAAUUAAUUCGUUAUUGCACAAGGAAACCACAAACCGCUCAAGAAAUUCCUUUAUAUUAACUAUUUUUACGAUGUUACAAGUGAUUAGGAUAGACGAUUUAUGAUAGAGGAGGUUGAUAAGUGUAUUUUCAGCUGAUCUUCAAUUGUUAGAGUCUGGGAAUGCUUAAAUUAAAUCGUUAUUGCACAAGGAAACCACAAAACGCCCAAGAAAUUCCUUUACAUUAACUCAUUUCACGAUGUUACAAGUGAUUAGCUUAGACAAUUAGUUACAGAGGAGGUUGAUGAGUGUAUUUUCAGCUUAUCUUCAAUUGUUAGAGUCUGGGAAUGCUUAAAUUAAUUCGUUAUUGCACAAGGAAACCGUUACUGUCCGUUCCCAGCCCAACCUUCCCUCCCAAGCACUUCAAACAUGGACCCAAUUUAUGAGCU